UACGGGGGGGGCAAGCGUUGUUCGGAAUUACUGGGCGUAAAGGGCUCGUAGGUGGCCAACUAAGUCAGACGUGAAAUCCCUCAGCUUAACUGGGGAACUGCGUCUGAUACUGGAUGGCUUGAGUUUGGGAGAGGGAUGCGGAAUUCCAGGUGUAGCGGUGAAAUGCGUAGAUAUCUGGAGGAACACCGGUGGCGAAGGCGGCAUCCUGGACGGAUACUGACGCUGAGACGCGAAAGCGUGGGGAGCAAACAGG
rnacentral:rRNA from 1 species